rnacentral:rRNA from 1 species
GACGAACGCUGGCGGCGUGCCUAAUACAUGCAAGUCGAGCGGAACUGGGGGAGCUUGCUCCUUCCAGUUUAGCGGCGGACGGGUGAGUAACACGUGGGCAACCUGCCCUGCAGAUCGGGAUAACUCCGGGAAACCGGUGCUAAUACCGAAUAGUUUGGCGCCUCUCCUGAGGCGCUACGGAAAGACGGUUUCGGCUGUCACUGCAGGAUGGGCCCGCGGCGCAUUAGCUAGUUGGUGGGGUAACGGCCCACCAAGGCGACGAUGCGUAGCCGACCUGAGAGGGUGACCGGCCACACUGAGACUGAGACACGGCCCAGACGCCUACGGGAGGCAGCAGUAGGGAAUCUUCCGCAAUGGACGCAAGUCUGAUGGAGCAACGCCGCGUGAGUGACGAAGGUUUUCGGAUCGUAAAACUCUGUUGUGAGGGAAGAACACGUACCAACUAACUAUUGGUACCUUGACGGUACCUCACCAGAAAGCCACGGCUAACUACGUGCCAGCCGCCGCAGUAA